rnacentral:rRNA from 1 species
GAUGAACGCUGGCGGCGUGCCUAAUACAUGCAAGUCGAGCGAACGGACGAGAAGCUUGCUUCUCUGAUGUUAGCGGCGGACGGGUGAGUAACACGUGGAUAACCUACUUAUAAGACUGGGAUAACUUCGGGAAACCGGAGCUAAUACCGGAUGAUAUUUUGAACCGCAUGGUUCAAAAGUGAAAGACGGUCUUGCUGUCACUUAUAGAUGGAUCCGCGCUGCAUUAGCUAGUUGGUAAGGUAACGGCUUACCAAGGCAACGAUGCAUAGCCGACCUGAGAGGGUGAUCGGCCACACUGGAACUGAGACACGGUCCAGACUCCUACGGGAGGCAGCAGUAGGGAAUCUUCCGCAAUGGGCGAAAGCCUGACGGAGCAACGCCGCGUGAGUGAUGAAGGCCUUCGGAUCGUAAAACUCUGUUAUUAGGGAAGAACAUAUGUGUAAGUAACUGUGCACAUCUUGACGGUACCUAAUCAGAAAGCAACGGCUAACUACGUG